ACCCGGCGGCGCGGCGUGGGUCGGGAGCGGGCGCCUGGGACUACUUCUCGUUUGAAAGUUUUCAGAGGCCAAAAGUUUGAGCCGGGGCUGCGGAAGGAUCCGGCUCUGGCGGUUGCCGCGCUCGGCGACAACUGGCGACUGAAAUUUGCAUCAGAGAAGAGAGUGGCCCAUUCGGUGUCCACCCGUCAGGCCACCCAGCAGCCAGGCACGCUCAUAAGCCCGCGUUACGGAUGGUGCGGCCGGGUGCACAGGCCCGAGGGAAGCACAGGCCUCGGCCUCCCAGCUCCCAACCCCUGCACCACCCACAGCCGGGAGUACCCCAUGGACAGCUGUGGCCGAGGAGAAGCCAGGGAUGAGGGGGAUGGGCCUCACCUCCCCACCAGCCUGGGAAGGGGGUAGGCCCCUGGCAAGUAGGCCCCUCCUUUGCGGCUGCUGUGGGGACUUUCGAGAGCAGAGCACACCCCUAAGUGCGUGGAGAGGAGGGAAGCUGAGGCUCAGAGACAUCAUGAGGAUGCCAGCUCAAGGCCCAGCCAGGCCUUGGUCCUCAGCUGCUGUCAUCCAGUAGGAGGCUCCGGAAGGUUUGCUGACUGACCUGUGACUGCAAGAAGCUGAAGGAAUGUGGGCGCAGACCCGGCAGGGGCUUUUCUUGGUGCAAAGUCAACUGGCUGUCCAUGCAAGCCUGCUGCUGUGGCCAGCCCUCCCGCCAGGCGCCUGGUACCCUCCCUGGACCCAGUUGCCAGGACAGUGAUCCCCAGCUGUGGCCAGGACUCUGCCCGGGGCCCUGUCUACUCAGUGUCUCCAGUGGUCCCCAUGCAGAAACUGCCCCCCUUGCUGCCCAUGAGGCAUGGGAUAGGGUCAGCAUCCGAGAGGCAGGCCCUGCUGUUCCCCUCUGCACAGAGGCUGGGGGAGUGAGUUGCCCGGGCAAGUCCCCGGGCAGGCACUGGGCCUCCUGAGCAGGUGAGCUGAGAAGGCCCCAGCUGUGCAGAUCUCAGGUGGAGGCCACCUGCCCGUCCUUUCCACGUGGCUCAGGGCUCAGACCCACCUGCCUGUCCCUGGAAGCCCCUAGACUGCUCAGAGCACAGACCUCAGUGGGAAAGACAGUAGAUAGGCCUGGGUAUGGUCUCCCAGCCCUGAGAAGUGGGGAGCCCACUCAGACCUUUCCAGGACCCCAGGUCCCCUCAGCAGCCCACAGAGCGUGGGUGGAGCCUGGGCUGGGGUUGGGUCACUUGGGAGCCAAAGGCCCAUUUCUGCUGCUUCCAGGGAGUCCCAGGGAGACGGCAGAGGCAGUGCCUGGCUGGGGCCCUGGUUGGCGUGCCGUUUGAGGGGUGCAUGCACUGGGAAGUUGGCCAGGCCUGCCCAAAUCAGGGGGCUUCCAGGAGGAGAGACAUCAGGAGGAUGGGCACAGAGGCGGCUUAGCACCAGGGCUGGCACCUCCAGGUAGGGGCUGUGGGGGGCUGGACCAGACAGGGAGGCUGUCACGAUGCCUGGCUGUUGGAUGGGGGCACAGAGGCUCUGAGUGGGGUGGCAGAGCUUGGCCACCAGGUCCAUCUGCACCCCCCAUGCCCCCUCACUACCCCCAGACCCCCAUGAUCCCAAACUACUCAGUCCCAGGGACCCCUGCAGAGCCUGUGGUGGGGGUGAUCUUCCACCCUGCCUGGCCCCUGCCCACCUCACCUCAGAACUUUCUCCAAAAAGUAAGAGCCCCGGGGGACGAAACUUCGAGGCUCCACCCCUUGGGCUCUGGUACAAACCCCGAGCCUCCUCCGAGGGCUGAGUCACUGGGAAAGCCGGGAUGGGCUGGCCCCUCCCCCUCCCUCUCCUUCCUUCCUCCUUCCCCCUUUCUCGGUCUCCCUCUUUUUCUCUUUGCUUUACUUCUCUUUCUUGCCUCCCUCUCUCCCUCUCUUCUUUCGUUCCUUUCAUCUUCUUCCCUUCCUCCGUCUUUGCCUUUCUUCUUUUCUGAGGGUAAAAAUAGCUGGAAAACCCCCUUAAAAAAGUUUAUUUUAAUCUUAGAGGGACAAUGUUGGUGUCCCAAAGCACAGUCCUUUGCCCCGGAGGAGCCACCGGCAGAGCCAGGAGCCCCUGAAGGACUUUGACCACACCCCCCACCCCACCCCGACCUGUGCCUGGUGCCCCAAGUGGAGCCUGGGCCAUCCUUGACCUCACCGCUGGGGUGAUGGAGAAGCAGCCGCCCGAGGCGAGAGUUUCUCAGGUGGCCGGGGUUUCCCCCCAUUUGCUCCAGACACAUUUAAACAAGCUGAGAACUUCCGUCCCCCCAUACUCCCCCCCGCGGACCCCCACGGACCCCCUCUGCAAAUGAACAUGGGCCUGGAAAUCGGGGUGUGGGUUACAGAGAGCACGGGGAAUUCUGCUCGUGAAGUAACACGGAGCACGAACAUAAGCAGGUACCGCACAUCUGCGAGCUAUUCGGGUCUCCGGGGGAAGGCAAAAAGCCCCAACAAGCCUUAAGUAAGACCAGGACGCUUCUAUAGUUUUGCUUUGACAGCUAAGGAAAAAAUCUGCCAAAAACCAGAGGCGCUGCUGAGUGUUGGCGUGGGAAUGCUAGUUUAGUCAGAGCCUUGCUCUGGGCCAUUUAAAUAAAAACAGACAUGUUGGUGGCAAAUGCCAGUUGAACACGCAGGAGAGCGGUGCUUCUCGGGCCCGGAGAAGGGUUUGCAGCUGCACUCUCUCUUCCCUUUUCUCUUGGCCUCCCCAGCCUUCUUAUCAUCACGAUCAGCAUUUCACUGGUAAACAUUUGGUGCAAUAAUUUUCAAAAAUCAGCAAGAAAAGUCUGAGCGUUUCAUGUGGCUGUGACUGCGUGGCCCCAGCUGGAAGCAUGGAUUCCCAGCGCCUCCCAGAGCCUGUCUCCGAGGGAUACUCUAAUCACUUGAGGGCCUUUGCACGACAUAAAUCAGACCGACUAUCUCUAGAGUGGAGAGGGGGAUAAACUCACUUGUAGCAAGUGAAGGCCAGAGGCUGCCCUGGGAUGGCAUUGCCUGUUCCCAGGGGCUUGUGGUGGUGCAGCAGACAUGGGGACCCCUGGGCCCCUUCCCCUCCUUGCUGGGGAUGCCACACAGACCCACGUUCAGGGACCUGAAUUCAGAGCCUGCCCCAGGGGUGGCGAAUGUAUCUGGGACACUGAGGACCCCCCUACCGGGUGCAUCUCAUGGCCUUUUGGUCUUUUUUUUUGAGACGGAGUCUCACUUUGUUGCCCAGGCUGGAGUGUCAUGGGGCGAUCUCCGCUCACUACCACCUCCGCCUCCCGGGUUCAAGCAAUUCUCCUGUCUCAGCCUCCGAGUAGCUGGGAUUACAGGUAUGUGCCACCACGCCAGCUAAUUUUUCUAUUUUUAAUAGAGAUAGGGUUUCACCAUGUUGGUCAGGCUGGUCUUGAACUCCUAACCUCGGGUGAUCUGCCUGCCUUGGCCUCCCGAAGUGUUGGGAUUACAGGCGUGAGCCACUGCACCUGGCCAGCCUUUUGGUCUUGAAGGGUCUCUGGGAGGGCCUCAGAGAAUGUCUUGGUUUCCUCACUCUUGGGUUCCCAUCGACUGAGGUCAGGGCUGGGAAGGGGUGAUGAGCCCAGGACUCUUCUGGCGAGAGCGAGGGUCUAUGUUGGGGGGCUCCCUUCUGCCACCUCUCCUUGGUGACAUGGGGCUGGCUGGAGAGUCCCUCCGUGCCUGGGAGUUCCUCAGUGUAGGGGGGGAAGGGGGCCACUGCAAUGAAUCUGACACCAGCCCCCUCUCUCUCCGCCCUGCUGGCAGCCCUCACUCAUAUGGGGGGCGGGUCUGUCCUCCUUUCCCCAAAGCUGGGGGUCCUGAGUGUGGUUGGGGUAACGUCUGGUCCUCCUUAGAACAGUGGGGCUUGGAAUUCAUUCAAGGGAAGAAGAGUGAAGGAACGCAGAUGCCGACUGCAUGGAGCCCCCCCGGGCUGCAGCCCCUAGAGCCUGGGCGCUCUGUGAGCCAGAAAGAGAACGGCUGGGGAGAGGGCUGUGUGAGGCCCUGUUCUUCCAAGACCGCUGCGGAGGACCGACGGGGCCCAGGGACCCUGACUGAGGUGUGCCGAGCACAGCAGCUCUGGACAGGCCGCACCGGCCUCUCUGUCUGUCAUCUGUCCACCUGUUGGUGGGCAGGAACAGACCUGAUGCUGUAAGAAGAGGCCCCCAGGACCCUGCCUCUCCCAUUGGCUGAGCCUGGACUGUGGAGCCAGCCGCCCUCACACUGGGCACAGAUGACCGACUUAGGUUUUGAGAAGAUCCAAACAGCAGCAGGACGUGCACCUGGUAGGGGUAGGAGGGCCUCCCCUGGACUCAAAAGUGUAUUCGCGGAGCCCCUUCCCUGCAGCGUAGGCUCUGGGGGGACAGUGGCCAGGACGGAGGCCCUCGUGGAAAGGGGGAGAUGUGAACAGUGAGCCUCCUGCAUGCAGGCAUCUGGGAAAGAACAUUCCAGCCAAGUGGCUCUGAGCACACCCCGACCCUGGCCACCCUGGCCCUGUGGACCAACCCUGGGGCCCAGGAUUAAUGACAGCCAGUGCUCGCUGGUGCCUCCAGCCUGGGCCAGGCCUGUGGGCUGGUCCCUUCAAUGAUGGGGCAAGCUCAGCCCCGUCCACACCCUUCUCCUCCUCCUCUGUGCUUCCCUCCACCCCCAGGAGUGGGCUCCAGGUCUGUCACUCGUCACUCAUGGGGGGCUGUGGGUUGACUCGUAUUCCCCCAAAAGACUCGCUGUAUACCCCCAGAGCUUGUGAGCAGGACCUGUUUUGGAGAUGGGUCUUUGCAGAUGUCGUCGAGUUAAGACAAGGCCAUGCUGGAGUGGGGCCUGCCCUAAUCCAACGACUGGGGCCCUUGGCAGGAGAGGGAGGUUUGGGGAGAAGGCGCUGGGAAGACAGGCAGAGGCUGGAGACAGUGCAGCCCCAAGCUGGGAGCACAGGGGUUGCCGGCACCCAACAGAAGCUGGAGGAGGUGGGAAGGAUCCUCCCUAGAGCCUUGGGAGGGGGCCCGGUCCUGUGACACCCAGAUUUUGGAUUUCUGGCCUUCGGAACUGAGAGAGCACACAUUUCUGCGGUUUGAAGCCACCAAAUUUUUGGUAAUUUGUUCUGGCCAGGAAAUUAAUACCAGGGAUAAAGGUGUUUUAAUGCAGACAAAGACAGUUUUUGAAUUAACCAAGCUUUGCGCAAGGCUGCCGGGAUUGACUGGGGGAAGUGAGGGACUCAGCAGCUUCCCCGACGCUCGCCAGGCACCGGCCUCCAUACACGCUUGCUGGCGGUGGCUACGGCAGGUCGCUCUUCAGGUGAAACCACAUAAUGAGCAGCCUUAAGCCUGUCGAUUUACACAGCAGAGGCUGCCUGGCCUGGCGCUCUUCCUGGCUGGAGGACUCUGCCUUCCCCCUCUGCCUGCCUGUGGCCACUCCGGCUGCAGAGGAGACUGGCAGACGACGUUCUCAUCCCUGGUCGGGGCAAAAGUUCUGCUCAAAUAUGACAACGGUGAAACUCGGAAUAGCGACAGAGCCAACCCAUGAUUGAGGCAGGGCUGGAGGCUUUCUGGAAAACGCACGGAGAAACACGAGGGCCCAGCUGUGCCCUGGGCCGCCCCAUGAGUCCAGCCUUCUUCGUCCUAGUCCCUUCUCCAAAGAAAGGACAAAACCACUGAAAGGGUUCGUCUGGGUCACAAACGUCCCAAAUUGGCUUCCGCGUGGAAACUAAACAAGGGUAGGUCCCAGCCCCUGGGAUUCAGGUGAAACCCGAGGCCUGUCUGAGGUCACAGCGUCUUCCCGAGGACGUCAGCCCUGUUGGCUGUGUCUGGGGCCAGGCUGAGGCAUAGCGGGCCAGGAGGCCGAGCUUCCCAAAGGAGCUGCACUGUCUUUUCCUUAGAAUAUGAAAUCAAUGUCUGCCACCUUGAAUCCUCAUGGACAAGACUCCUUGGAAGCCAGCCUGUGUCAGGGCCAGCGUCCCCCAGGGCUGACACCUACACCCUCGCAUUCUCAGCGUGACUCGGGACAGUGGCAGAACCCGCUGGGUUCUCUCUACGGGAGUGCUUUUUUUUUUUCUUUUCUUUUUUUUUUUUUUUUUUUUUUUUGAGUCGGAGUUUCACUCUUGUUGCCCAGGCUGGAGUACAAUGGUGUGAUCUCGGCUCACUGCAACCUCCACCUCCUGGGUUCAAGCAGUUCUCCUGUCUCAGCCUCCCGAGUAGCUGGGAUUACAGGUGCACACCACCAUGCCUGGCUAAUUUUUGUAUUUUUAGUAGAGAUGAGGUUUCACGGUGUUGGCCAAGCUGGUCUCGAACUCCUGACCUCAAGUGAUCCACCUGCCUUGGCCUCCCGAAGUGCUGGGAUUUCUGGCGUGAGCCACCGCACCCAGCUCGGAGUGCGUUAUGACUAGAGGCAAAGACAGCAGCAUGAUCUUCAGCUUGCAAAUGAGACACAGAAUGACAAUGAAUCUUCACCGAAGUUAACUUGAACCUGGAUGGAUGAGUGGCCGGGUCGCCAAAAAGCUCCUCGGACCCUGCCAGAGUGUGAGCUCUGCCAGGAGGGCCGGGGCUCCAGGAUCCCAGGCUGGGCAGUCACUGGCUCCCCCAGGAAGGGCCACAUUCCGGUGGGCAGACAGAGGGUUGGGGAGGGUGGUGGGCAGCCAGCCGCCUGGAUCCCGGCCGGGGCACCGUCCCGCAGAGCUUGUCCCGCACAGACUCAGUUUCCUAACCCAGCAAGUGGGAGUCCACUGUGAGAAGUCCAGCCCUACGCAGAUGCGUGCGAAUCCCCUAAGAGCCAUGCCUGAGCCCUUGGCGGAAGCAGUUGGCUCCUCGUGUCAUGCAAAGGGCGGCAUUUUCAUUCCUAACAGGGAGGUGGCCCCGGAGCAUCCAGUUCAAAGGAGCUAGGAUGAUCCAGGGUCCUCUCACGUGGGCCUUGGUGAGUGGCCACACCCUCUGAGACCCCCUUUCAUCCCCAUAGAAAGGUCCUAGCAGGGCUGUGCCAGGGGGAUCCGCGGGUGGCAGGGUGGCCCCAUCUGCAGUGGGCCCAGGAGGAUAGCAACAGGACUUAGCAGUGGUGGGAUUGUAUUUCUGGGCCCUUCUUCCCCCACAGCCCACAGCCUCCUGACGGGACCCCUCCCCCCAGAACCUGAAGGACGGACCUCAGGUGUGGAGCUCCCUCACCAGACAGAGGGGAGGAGCCCAGGUCCAUCUCCUCAAAGGGACCCACCAGCCCCUCACGCGGCUGCACACAAGGCAGUCCCAGCCAGGCCCCAGGUUGAGGCAGACUCAGCCUAUGUCCUCAAGAGGCUCCCUGGAGAAGGCAGGACCCAGAAGCUUCUCUCUCGGCUGACAUGGCCUUUGCGGGCAGCCUUCCCACCCACAUCCCCAGCAUGAGCCCCAGCUCCUUGGAGCCCAGAGUCCAAGAAAUGGCCUUUCUGCCACUGACCCCUCCCGUGGAAUGGCUCCUCCCGAGCAGGGAACCUCUGCUGGGACCCGUCAGCUGCAAGAAGGCCCGUCCCCGAGAGAGCCCUGCAGGGCAAGGGGAGAGGGACCCCGGGGUAGGGGUGGAGAGCAGCUGAGGGGACAGACACAGAGAAGACCAGGCAGGGGCAUAGCCUGCUGAUGGGGGAUGCCAUCCUCUCGGUCACAGCUGAGCCAGGGCAGCCUCUAAGCUUCCUAAGUGGGGAAACCAAGGCAGAGAACCCCAGGACUGGGGCCACCGCUGUGGUCAGCCGGUUGGGGGUGGCCUGGGCCUCUCCAGUCUCCACUCUUCCAUCCAGCUUCAUGGGGAGCAACAUUUUUUUCACCUCAAGGCCAAAUUAGGAAGAACAAACAUGUUUUAUUUAUCAGUGUCACUUUUUUUUUUUUUUGUUUUAGAGACAGGGGUCUCACUAUGUUGCCCAGGUUGGACUUGAAUUCCUGGGCUCAAACAAUCCUCCUGCCUCAGCCUCCCAAGUUACUAGGACUACAGGUGCACCACUUAGUUACAUUUUUUUUAUACACGUGAAAACAGCUUUUUUGCUGGGCGCAGUGGCUCACGCCUGUAAUCCUAGCCCUUGGGGAGGCCGAGGCAGGUGGAUCACCUGAGGUCAGGAGUUCGAGACCAGCCUGGCCAACAUGGUGAAACCCCGUCUCUACUAAAAAUACAAAAAUUAGCUGGGUGUGAUGAUGGGAGCCUGUAGUCCCAUCUACUCAGGAGGCUGAGGCAGGAGAGUGGCAUGAACCAGGGAGGCGGAGGUGGCAGUGAGCCGAGAUCGCGCCAUUGCACUCCAGCCUGGGUGACAGAGUGAAACUCCAUCUCAAAAAAAAAAAAAAAAAAGAAAAGAAAAAGAAAGUAGUUUUUUUUCCCCCUAUGCUAAAAAUUCAAACAAAGCAAACAAGCAAAUUUUUAGAGAAGAAAAUUCCAUUGGCCACAAUCUGUAGCAGGGAGAGCUGUUUUUUUUGUUUUGUUUUUGUUUUUUUUUUGAGGCAGAGUCUUGCUCUGUCACCCAGACUGGAAUGCAGUGGUGCAAUCUCGGCUCACUGUAACCUCUGCCUCCCGGGUUCACGCCAUUCUCCUGCUUCAGUCUCCAAAGUAGCUGGGACUACAGGUGCCCGCCACCACGCCCAGCUAAUUUUUUGUAUUUUUAGUAGAGACGGGAUUUCACCGUAUUAGCCAGGAUGGUCUCAAUCUCCUGACCUCAUGAUCCACCUGCCUUGGCCUCCCAAAGUGCUGGGAUUACGGGCGUGAGUCACUGCACCCAGCCUGAGGGCUGUGUUUUAAAUGAAACAUGCACCUCUUUGCUCCUUGAUAUGGUUUGGCUCUGUGUACCCCCACCCCCAAUCAAGUUGUAAUCCCCACAUGAAGGAGGGACCUGGUGGAAGGUGAUUUAAUCAUGGAAUGGACUUUCCCCUUCGCUGUCUCCCUCUCCUGCUCUGGCCGUGUGAAGACAGAACCCACUUCCCCUUUGCCUUUCGCCAUGAUUUCCUGAGGCCUCCUCAGCCAUCCCUCCUGCACAGCCUGUGGGACUGUGAGCUGAUUAAACCUCUUUUCUUCAUAAAUUACCUAAUUCUCAGGUAGUUCUUUAUAGCCGUGUGAGAAGAGACUAACACAGAAAAUGGUACUGGGAGAGAGGCACUGCUCUAAAGAUGCCUGAGAAUGUGGAAGCAGCAUGGGAACUGGGUCGUGGACAGAGGCUGGGACAGUUCGAAGGGCUCAGAAGAAGACAGGAAGGUGAGGGAAAGUUUGGAACUUCCUAGAGAUUUGUUGAAUGGUUGUAACCAAAAUGCUGAUAGCGAUACGGACAGUGAAGUCCAGGCUGAGGUGAUCUCAGAUGGAGAUGAGGAACUUAUUGGGAAAGGGAGGAAAGGUCACUCUUGCUAUGCUCCAGCAAGGAGACAGGCAGCACUGUGCCCCUGCUCUAGGGAUCUGUGGAACUUUGAACUUGAGAGAGAUGAUUUAGGGUAUCUGAUGGAAGAAAUGUCUAGGCAGCAAAGCAUUCGAGAUGUGGUCUGGCUGCUUCUAAAAGCUUAUGUUUAUUUGCAUAAAGAAGGAAACGACCCAAAAUCGGAACUUAUGUUUAAAAGUGAAGCAGAACAUAAAAGUUUGAAAAUUUUGCAGCCUGACUAUGCAAUUGAAAAGUAAAACCCAUUUUCUAGGGAGGAAUUCAAGCCUGCAGAAAUUUGCAUAAGCAAAAAAGAGCCAAAUGUUAAUCACCAAGACAAUGGGGAAAAUGUCUCCAGGGCAUUUCAGAGACCUUCACAGCAGCCCCUCCCAUCACAGGCCUGGAGGCCUGGGAGGGAAAAAUGGUUUCAUGGGUCAGGCCCAGGGCCCUGCUGCUUUGUGCAGCCUUGGGACAUGGCACCCUGCAUCCCAGCCACUCUAGCUCCAGCCAUGGCUGAAAGGUAUACCUCAGACCAUUGCUUCAGAGGGUGCAAGCCCCAAGCCUUGGCAGUUUCCAUGUGCUGUUGGGCUCACAGAUGUGCAGAAAGCAAGCGUUACGGUUUUGGAGCCUCCACCUAGGUUUCAGAGGAUGUAUGGAAAUGCCUGGAUGUCCAGACAGAAGUCUGCUGCAGGGGGUGAGCCCUCAUGGAGAACCUCUACUAGAACAGUUCGGAGGGAAAAUAUGGGGUUGGAGCCCCCACACAGAGUCCCCGCUGGGGCACUGCCUAGUGGAGCAGUGAGGAGAGGGCCACUGUCCUCCAGACCCCAGAAUGGUAGAUCCACUGACAGCUUGCACUGUGUGCCUGGAAAAGCCACAGGUACUCAAUGCCAGCUUGUGAAAGCAGCCACAGGGGGCUGUAUCCUGCAGAGCCAGAGGGGUGGAGCUGCCCAAGGCCUUGGGAUCCCACCCCUUGAGUCAGUGUGGCCUGGAUGUGAGACAUGGAGUCAAAGGAUAUUGUUUUGGAGCUUUAAGAUUUAAUGACUGCUUCAGAUCACUUGAAGUCAGGAGUUUGAGAUCAGCCUGGCCAAUGUGGUGAAACCCCAUUUCUACUAAAAAUACAAAAAUUAGCUGGGCGUGGUGGCAGGUGCCUGUAAUCCCAGCUACUCGGGAGGCUGAGGCAAGAGAAUUGCUUGAACCCAGGAGGCGGAGGUUGCAGUGAGCCGAGGUCGUGCCAUUGCACUCCAGCCUGGGGGACAAGAGCAAGACUUCAUCUCAAAAAAAAAACAAAAAACCGUUUAAUGACUACCCUACUGGGUUCAGGACAUGCAUGGGGCCUGUAGGCCCUUUGUUUUGGCCAAUUUCUCCCUUUUGAAAUGGGAGCAUUUACCCAGUGCCUGUACCCACAUUGUAUC
rnacentral:lncRNA from 1 species